GUUCCGUAGGUGAACCUGCGGAAGGAUCAUUCAUAAUCAGUGUUCUACUGCACUUUUUAAAAAUAGUACUCACCUUGUGUGCAAUGUUGUGUGAACUUCUACUUGUAGAAGUCCACACCUACACCAACCUAUAACCUUGAACCACUUUGUCUGAAAAACUAUUAUGAAUACUUAAUUCAAAAUACAACUUUCAACAACGGAUCUCUUGGCUCUC
rnacentral:misc_RNA from 1 species